CCCUUAGAUGUUCUGGGCCGCACGCGUGCUACACUGAGUAAUUCAAUGGGUAAGGGAACGCUAGAGCAUUACCUAAUCUUGAAAUUUGCUCGUGAUGGGGAUCGACGGUUGCAAUUUUCCGUCGUGAACGAGGAAUACCGUGUAGGCGCAUGUCAUCAUCAUGCGCCGAAUACGUCCCUGCCCUUUGUACACACCGCCCGUCGCUCCUACCGAUUGAGUGAUCCGGUGAGGCUCUGGGACCUGGACGGAAAGAGCGUUUCGCUUGUUCUGUUUGGGAAACUUGGUCGAACCUUAUCAUUUAGAGGAAGGAGAAGUCGUAACA
rnacentral:rRNA from 1 species